GACGAACGCUGGCGGCGUGCCUAAUACAUGCAAGUAGAACGCUGAAGGAGGAGCUUGCUUCUCCGGAUGAGUUGCGAACGGGUGAGUAACGCGUAGGUAACCUGCCUGGUAGCGGGGGAUAACUAUUGGAAACGAUAGCUAAUACCGCAUAAGAGUAGAUGUUGCAUGACAUUUACUUAAAAGGUGCAAUUGCAUCACUACCAGAUGGACCUGCGUUGUAUUAGCUAGUUGGUGAGGUAACGGCUCACCAAGGCGACGAUACAUAGCCGACCUGAGAGGGUGAUCGGCCACACUGGGACUGAGACACGGCCCAGACUCCUACGGGAGGCAGCAGUAGGGAAUCUUCGGCAAUGGACGGAAGUCUGACCGAGCAACGCCGCGUGAGUGAAGAAGGUUUUCGGAUCGUAAAGCUCUGUUAUAAGAGAAGAACGAGUGUGAGAGUGGAAAGUUCACACUGUGACG
rnacentral:rRNA from 1 species